UACGUAGGGUGCGAGCGUUAAUCGGAAUUACUGGGCGUAAAGCGUGCGCAGGCGGUUCGUCGUGUCCGAUGUGAAAGCCCCGGGCUCAACCUGGGAAUGGCGAUGGAUACUGGCUCGCUAGAGUGCGGUAGAGGAGAGUGGAAUUCCCGGUGUAGCAGUGAAAUGCGUAGAGAUCGGGAGGAACAUCAGUUGCGAAGGCGGCUCUCUGGACCAGCACUGACACUGAGGCACGAAAGCGUGGGGAGCAAACAGG
rnacentral:rRNA from 1 species